ACGUAGGGAGCAAGCGUUGUUCGGAUUUACUGGGCGUAAAGGGCGCGUAGGCGGCAAAUCAAGUCAGCUGUGAAAUCUCUGAGCUUAACUCAGAACGGUCAGCUGAUACUGCUUUGCUAGAGUGCGGAAGGGGCAAUCGGAAUUCUUGGUGUAGCGGUGAAAUGCGUAGAUAUCAAGAGGAACACCUGAGGUGAAGACGGGUUGCUGGGCCGACACUGACGCUGAUGCGCGAAAGCCAGGGGAGCAAACGGGA
rnacentral:rRNA from 1 species